rnacentral:rRNA from 1 species
ACUCUUGACAACAGAUAUCUUCGCUCUCGCAUCGAUGAAGAACGUAGUGAAAUGCGAUACUUGGUGUGAAUUGCAGAAUCUUGUAAACCAUCGAGUUUUUAAGCGCAAGUUGUGCCCAAAUCCUUUCAGCCGAGGGCACGCCUGCCUGGGCGUCACACAUCGUAGCCCCCGCACCAAAAGAAAAACCACGUCAAUGGUGUGCAUCGAAGUAGACUUGUGUUGCUGCUUUGCUCGGGCUUGUUGGGAGAGGUGGUCGUGGUGCGGACAUUGGCCUCUCGAGCGAAAUCAAUGUGGUUGGUCUAAAAUGGAGUCCUCGGCGGAUGCCUGUCGGGACCCGAAAGAUGGUGAACUAUGCCUGAGCGGGGCGAAGCCAGAGGAUACUCUGGUGGAGGCCCGCAGCGAUACUGACGUGCAAAUCGUUCGUCUGACUUGGGUAUAGGGGCAAAAGACUAAUCGAACCGUCUAGUAGCUGGUUCCUUUCAAAGUUUCCCUCAGGAUAGCUGGAGCCCAUGGGCGAGUUCUAUCUGGUAAAGCCAAUGAUUAGAGGCAUCGGGGGCGCAACACCCUCGACCUAUUCUCAAACUUUAAAUAGGUAGAACGGCGAGGCUGCUUUGUUGAGCCACGCCACCAAAUCGAGAGCUCCAAGUGGGCUAUUUUUGGUAAGCAGAGCUGGCGAUGCGGGAUGAACCGAAAGCCGGGUUACGGUGCCCAAUUGCGAGCUAACCUAGAACCCACAAAGGGUGUUGGUCGAUUAAGACACCAGGACAGUGGUCAUGGAAGUUGAAAUCCGCUAAGGAGUGUGUAACAACUCACCUGCCGAAUCAACUAGCCCCGAAAAUGGAUAGCGCUGAAGCGCACGACCUAUACCCGGCCGUCGGGGCAAGUACCAGGCCCCGAUGAGUAAGAGGGCGCUGCGGUCGCUGCAAAAUUUGCAGCGCGAGCCCAAGCGGAGCGGUCGUUGGUGGAUGGUUCCAUGUAAACAGCUCUUGCACAUGGGUUAGUCGAUCCUAAGAGACAGUGCAAUCACGUCUGACAGUGCCCAGUGCGCGAUCAUCAAAAGAGAAUUGGUUUUAAAUUCCUAAAAUGGGACGUGGCAGCAACGUUAGGGAUUCCGGAGACGUCGUCAGGGACCUCGGGAAGAGUUAUCUUUUCUGUUUAAUAGCUAGCCCACGCUGGAAACGGCUCGGCCGAAGGUAGGGUCCAGCGGCUAGCACCACACGUCGCGCGGUGUCCAGUAUGUCCUCGACGACCGUUGAAAAUUUUGAGGACCAAGUGCCUCCCACGCCCGAUUGUACUCAUAACCGCAUCAGGUCUCCAAGGUGAAUAACCUCUGGUUGAUGGAACAAUGUAGGCAAGGGAAGUCGGCAAAAUGGAUCUGUAACCUCAGGAAAAGGAUUGGCUCUAAGGGCUAGGCACGGGGGUCCUUGUCCUGAAUCCAUUGGCUGUCGAUGGACUACUCGAACUGCUCUCACGGCCAGAGCAGGUCGUCGCGUGCCUGCCGGGGGACGGACUUGGAACGGCUCCUUCGGGGGCCUUCCCUGGGCAUCGAACAGUCGACUAAGAACUGGUAUGGAUAAGGGGAAUCCGACUUUUUAAUUAAAAUAAAGCAUUGCGAUGGUCCUUGCGAGUGCUCACGCAAUGUGAUUUCUGCCCAGUGCUCUGAAUGUCAAAGUGAAGAAAUUCAACCAAGUGCGGGUAAACGGCGGGAGUAACUAUGACUCUCUUAAGGUAGCCAAAUGUCUCGUCAUCUAAUUAGUGACACGUAUGAAUGGAUUAACGAGAUUCCCAUUGUCCCUGUAUACUAUCCAGCAAAACCACAGCCAAGGGAACGGGCUUGGCAGAAUCAGCGGGGAAAGAAGACCCUGUUAAGCUUGACUCUAGUCCGACUUUGUGAAAUGACUUAAGAGGUGUAGGAUAAGUGGGAGCCGAAAACGGCGAAAGCGAAAUACCACUACUUUUAAUGUUAUUUUACUUAUUCCGUGAAUCGGAAGCGAGGCAACUCCCCUCUUUUUGGACCCAAGGCCCGCCUCGGUGGGUCGAUCCAGUCGAAAGACAUUGUCAGGUGGGGAGUUUGGCUGGGCCUGCACAUCUAUUAAAAGAUAACGAACAUAAAUCUCGUGCGGAACAAAAAGGUAAAAGCUCGUUUGAUUCUGAUUUCAGGUACAAAUACGAACUGUGAAAGUGUGGCCUAUCGAUCCUUUAGACCUUCGGAAUUUGAAGCUAGAGGUGUCAGAAAAGUUACCAUAGGGAUAACUGGCUUGCGGUAGCCAAGCUUUCAUAGAGACGUUGCUUUUUGAUCGUUCGAUGUUGGCUCUUCCUAUCAUUGUGAAGCACAAUUCACCAAGUGUUGGAUUGUUCACUCACCAAUAGGGUACGUAAGACAGGUUUAGAUCGUCAUGAGACAGGUUAGUUUUACCCUACUGAUGACAGUGUCGCAAUAGUAAUUCAACCUAGUACGAGAGGAACCGUUGAUUCGUACAAUUGGUCAUCGCGCUUGGUUAAAAAGCCAGUGGCGCAAAGCUACCGUGCGCUGGAUUAUGACUGAACGCCUCUAAGUCAGAAUCUGGGCUAGAAGCAACGCACGUGCCCGCCGCCUGAUCGCCGACCAGCAGUAAGGGCCCCAGGCCCCCAAGGGCACGCGUCGUUGGCCAAGCCCUUGCAACCGAGCCAUUGCGCAGCCA